UACGAAGGGGGCUAGCGUUGUUCGGAUUUACUGGGCGUAAAGGGCGCGUAGGCGGCCACCGCAAGUCGACUGUGAAAUCUCCGGGCUUAACCCGGAAAGGUCAGCCGAUACUGCGGGGCUAGAGUGCAGAAGGGGCAACUGGAAUUCUCGGUGUAGCGGUGAAAUGCGUAGAUAUCUGGAGGAACACCGGUGGCGAAGGCGGCAUCCUGGACCGGUAUUGACGGCUGAGGA
rnacentral:rRNA from 1 species